rnacentral:rRNA from 1 species
CUUGCUCCCCGGGGACAGUGGCGAACGGGUGAGUAACACGUGAGUAAUCUGCCCUCGAGCGGGGGAUAGGUCCGGGAAAGCGGAGCUAAUACCGCAUGAAACUUUGGAGCAUAAGCUUUCAAAGUCAAAGCUUUCGGGUGCUUGAGGAUGAGCUCGCGGCCUAUUAGCUUGUUGGUAGGGUAACGGCCUACCAAUGCAACGAUGGGUAGCCGGCCUGAGAGGGUGUUCGGUCACACUGGGACUGCGACACGGGCCAGACUGGUGCGGGAGGCAGCAGUGGGGAAUUUUGCGCGAUGGGCGAAAGCCUGACGCAGCGACGCCGCGUGGAGGAUGAAGGUUUUCGGAUUGUAAACUCCUGUCAGAGGUGAAGAAAGCCCUUAUGGGUCUGACGGUAACCUCAGAGGAAGCCCCGGCUAACUACGUGCCAGCAGCCGCGGUAAUACGUAGGGGGCAAACGUUGCUCGGAAUUACUGGGCGUAAAGGGUGCGCAGGUGGCUGAGAAAGUCGUUGAUGAAAUCCCGGGGCUUACCCCCGGAACUGUCUUCGAUACUUCUCAGCUUGAGGAUAGUCGAGGAGAACGGAAUUCCCGGUGGAGCGGUGAAAUGCGUAGAUAUCGGGAGGAACACCAGAGGCGAAGGCGGUUCUCUAGGCUGAUCCUGACACUUGAGGCACGAAAGCUAAGGGAGCGAACGGGAUUAGAUAACC